UGCCAGGGAUGAUUAACCAGAUAGGGACAACUGAUCUUACGAUGAGAAAAGUCUGAGGUUUGUUUUUAGUAGAACUACCGUUUCUGAGG
rnacentral:snoRNA from 2 species